AAAAGUGAAUUUUUUGCGCGCGAGAAUUAUAAUUGAUGGCGCCCACAUUCUGCUACCAAUAUCUCUUCCAUAUCUCGCCUUCCGUCGCAGUGUGGAUUUUACGGCCCCGGCUGGAGGUCAGUAGCACAGGCCCCAUGCUUCCAGAGGUGAACAAUUUCAGGGGAACGGGGGGCAAGACAUUGACAUUGUCAUCAUUCGACUUUUAUGGCGCCUUUAAAAAUGUAUCUCGAAAUUGUUGCCAUCGCUGGGGCGAAGAUGGCGAAAUGCGAGAUGAGUAGCAAGUGGAGGAAGUGAAAUUGCGAGUGGGAAAACGAAUUCAGAACACCCUUAAAAUCUUAUAAAGAUUAAAAUUUAGAACAAUUUGUAGAAGUUUUUAGGUAAUUUCAACUAACAUAGGCAAGUUUUUUCGACAUAGAUUUUACAGAUCAUUAAAAUUAAUUUAUUUUGAUUUUUAUAAUAUAUUUCUUAAGUAUUCUUCAGUUGUAUUCUCUUCAACUAAAUAUUUUCCCAUAUCCUAAAAUAAUAUUUUUUCAACUUUUUUGUAAUUUUCUUCAAAAACCUGUAGGCCCCAACAACCAGUAGAGUAUAAAUGCAAAAUGAAAAAUGAAAAACCGAAAGAUUUUUGUGUGUUGCUCAGUUUGUUUUUCGCCCAUUUGCUCUUUAGCUCUGCCUUUGGCAGUAUGUUUACACUGGGGGAAUGCGAAAACAAUAAAUCGGAAGAACGGCGAAAAGAAUUUCCUAAUUAAUGAGCUCGAGGGUCGAGCCGGCCGAAAUACUUGUAUACUUGUAUAUCCUGAGAAAUAUAAAUUUGAACAACAAAUUAGCUCGGGCCCACCCACCAGCCCUCCCGCUGGCCAAGUGGAAAGACAACAGGGGCAGAGCUCCAAAGUAAUGGCCAGAAAAAUGCGAAAGCGAACCCUGUUUAGUCAUUUGCAUGUGUUGUCUGCCGAACAGGAACCGGAUAUCCAAAUGUCGGAAUUACGAGCGUCGGACAUGCAACCGAAAAAUACAUACGUAUACGUGGAAAUGGGAGUGGUCGUCGGAACACGUCUCUAUUUGGUCACCCCGAUUGGACUAUAUUGACUCUGCCCCAGUCCAGAAUUUCUUUUUUCUGGAUUUUAAUUAGCCAAAUUAAAUUCGCCUGCAAACAGAACACAGCUGUGAAUGAAAAUCGAUUUAGCGCUGGCGACUUUGCACAUUAAUUUCCAUUUUAAUAGAGAGAUAUUGUCCGUCCGCCGGGAGGGUAAACAAAUUGAAACGAAUUCAUUCAUCAGGUGACCUCAACUAAUGAGCCGGUCAGCCCGAACAAAUAAAGCAAGAAAACCGAACGCAGGUGGAAUGUCUGGAAAACUUGAAUAAAGCCAUACAAAUUCAAAAAAACAUGCUUGGUGAGAUCUUCAAGAAUGGAGAAAUAGAGCCCAGACUAAUAUUAAACAGCCAGCUUGGCCAAUUUCGCUCUGAGGCAAGACACUUCCAUUGGCCCCCUCUAAUUGCAUUAUCAUGCUGAGUCAAUUAGUGGUCAUUAACUCUAAGCACUGGGCCAUAAAAAUGAAACUAAUGGCCAUAACUCACUUAGGUAAGUCCCCAGCGGGAAAAAUAACAAGAAAAAAGAGAGCAACAGGACGCCCCGUGGACGCAGGAUGAGUGUUCACUGUACGGCGCACUCUCGUUACAAAGUGCGUGACCUAGCCCAACACCGACUGGAAAUUGUUUUUCUCAGCGGGCAGGGCUAUCAGUUUGAUGACUGACACUAUUACACAAAGUCGAGGAACUCGAGCUCAACAUGAUUCAUCAGUGGAUAAUCUAAAAAAUAAACAUUACAGAAAAUGAAUAUAAAAAAUGCCAUGAAAAGGCAAUUUGUUAGUCAAAUGAUUUUGAAAUCAAAGCACUCAUACACUCGCAAGCAGACUCUUCACACGGAUGCACAGCAGGGAUGCAAUGGGAAAACAAACAGGAAAAAGGUGAUCGACCUUGCCAUGGGGGAAAAUGCUGGAAAAAAUUAAGAGGACAGGAUAUCCUCCCAAAAAGUCGCAUCAAAAAUUUACAAAAUAUUUAAAAGUGUAUUAAAGCUAUGCCAUUAAAUAUUUA